rnacentral:rRNA from 1 species
UACAGAGGUCUCAAGCGUUGUUCGGAUUCAUUGGGCGUAAAGGGUGCGUAGGUGGCAUGGUAAGUCGGAUGUGAAAUCCCGGGGCUCAACCCCGGAACUGCAUUCGAUACUGCUGCGCUAGAGUACUGGAGAGGAGAUUGGAAUUCCUGGUGUAGCGGUGAAAUGCGCAGAUAUCAGGAGGAACACCGGUGGCGAAGGCGGGUCUCUGGGCCGAUACUGACGCUGAGGAGCGAAAGCGUGGGGAGCGAACAGG